GGUGGUGGGGGAGUAGCCGGGCUACGCCCGGGUAAUACCGCAUACGGUUCUCGAGGGGAGUCCCUUGGGAAAGAAACCUCCGGGGCACAGAGAGGGGCUCGCGGCCUAUCAGCUAGUUGGGGGGGUAAUGGCCCACCAAGGCGACGACGGGUAGCUGGUCUGAGAGGAUGGCCAGCCACAUUGGGACUGAGAGACGGCCCAG
rnacentral:rRNA from 1 species